rnacentral:tRNA from 1 species
GGGGAUGUAGCUCAGUGGUAGAGCACUUGCUUAGCAUGCAUAAGACUUUGGGUUCAAACCCUAGUACUACAA